GGAAUCUUAGACAAUGGGCGCAAGCCUGAUCUAGCCAUGCCGCGUGAGUGACGAAGGCCCUAGGGUCGUAAAGCUCUUUCGCCAGGGAAGAUAAUGACGGUACCUGGUAACGACACCCCGGCUAACUCCGUGCCAGCAGCCGCGGUAAUACGGAGGGGGUUAGCGUUGUUCGGAAUUACUGGGCGUAAAGCGCGCGUAGGCGGAUUAGUCAGUCAGAGGUGAAAUCCCAGGGCUCAACCCUGGAACUGCCUUUGAUACUGCUAGUCUUGAGUUCGAGAGAGGUGAGUGGGAUUCCGAGUGUAGAGGUGAAAUUCGUAGAUAUUCGGAGGAACACCAGUGGCGAAGGCGGCUCACUGGCUCGAUACUGACGCUGAGGUGCGAAAGCGUGGGGAGCA
rnacentral:rRNA from 1 species